UCAACCUUACUUCCAGCAGAGGGCAAUACAGCAUCAAGAAGCAGUUGGACCAGACAGCCUCCAAAAGAGUUUCUGAGGCCUAUUUCAAUAUUUCUGAUCAAACAACCUCAUAUACACAUACACUGUGUGUAGCUGGCCUUGCCUUGCCUUGUGUUACCGGAUAUCCAUAAAACUUCAGGAAUCUGAGAUAUAUGAAGGUACAGAGCGGGAAGAGAAUGAGAUGAUUGGCUUUGCGUUCCGCCAUGCAAGAGGCAGGGCUGUCACAGAAAGCUGUCCUUUUAGGGACAUAACUGAGGCUGGCAGGAUGGAAUGAGUGGGCGUGAUAGGCUGAUUGUGUCAGAGAACGCAAGACUGACAGGAGUGACAGCUCCAUUUAUCGGCUGCUAGAUUCUAGUCAGCAAAAGGGCAUUCAGGGCCACUGGCUGGCUCUGCUGGCGGCCUGUGCAGCCGGUGCCUGUAAUGCAUGAAGCCCUGGAGUCAUAGUAAACAGCAUCUCUAGUACUUCAGGAAUUUUAUCCAACAUGGAGGAUGAAGAGAUUUCUCCUGAUCUUAAGGCAGCACUGUUGUCCUUUUAAAUUACGCUUCUCCAUAUGCAUGAGCGGAGGGGGGAGAGAAAACUGGCAACCGAGGAAAGAAGUGCCAUGGCGGGGAGUCUAAUCAAGUGACAGACUGCUGAGCGGGCUCAAAACACUAGCUGUCCAUCAGCGAUAGACCAGGAGCGUCACGGUGGAUCGAGCAGGUUGAGUGAGUCACUUGUUCACGUACAACAAAGUUCUCAAAUGGUCUGAACUGAAAUAACUCUGGCCACCAGGAUCGUAGCUUUCAUGCUUGUUUCAUUACCGUCAUAAGAGAAGGUGCCAGUUCUCUUUCAUCCAGCAUGUAAGUGCCUCUUUCUUAGUGUCCGCAACAAAGUAAUUCUUUAGUCAGUUCUAUUUUUGUCU